rnacentral:rRNA from 1 species
UACAGAGGGUGCGAGCGUUAAUCGGAAUUACUGGGCGUAAAGCGUGCGCAGACGGUUGCGUAAGUCAGAUGUGAAAGCCCCGGGCUCAACCUGGGAAUUGCAUUUGAGACUGCGUAGCUAGGGUGCGGAAGAGGGAAGCGGAAUUUCCGGUGUAGCGGUGAAAUGCGUAGAUAUCGGAAGGAACACCAGUGGCGAAAGCGGCUCUCUGGGACGGUACUGACGCUGAGACGCGAAAGCGUGGGGAGCGAACAGG